rnacentral:misc_RNA from 1 species
UUAAUAAAAAUCGGCGUGUUGCUCUUUUGUGACGUUCCGGAGUUUGGGUCAUCUUAUAACAACACCCUUUCAGGUAUUUUUAAGAGGCUUAAAAUUGACCUUUUUUUGUGCAUUUUUUAGACGUACAUAAAUUUUUUUUUAUUCGUCUAUCUUGAUGCCAAAUCUAUUAGAUGCGACCAUAUCGUGUGGUUCCGUGUCUAUAAAUUUUUCAUG